rnacentral:rRNA from 1 species
AGAGGGCGUGAAACCGCUUAGAAGGAAACGAGAGGCGCCGCAGUUUGCCUUCAAGAUUCAACAGAUGUGUCUACUGCGUCGGUAGUCAUUCUGUGCAUUUCUUGUUGGUAUGCACUGAGGGUCGUGUUGGCUGUGCUGCUCGCAGUCGGAAGGGAAACACGUUUGUGUCAUUCAGACGGCUGUGCGUUGUGCGGCUGGUACGGUUGUAGUGGUAUCCUGAACAGCUCGGUGUAGGAUGAGCGCUGUUUGUUGCUUGGCUGCUGGUCUCGGCCGGUUGUCGGGCUGCGCGUUUUGUGAUUCCUGCGCUGAGGAGAUACCCACUCGGUGUUAAUGUCGGCUACCCUCCCGACCCGUCUUGAAACACGGACCAAGGAGUCUAACAUGUGCGCGAGUCAAUGGGUUGUAAACCUACAGGCGCAAUGAAAGUAAAGGCCAAUUCGGUUGGUUGACACACGACCCGUUCAGCUUGCUGAGUGGAGCAGUGUGGUCCCAUCUCAGAUGCUUGUCAUCGAGGUGGAGAUUGAGCGUACGUGUUGGGACCCGAAAGAUGGUGAACUAUGCCUGAACAGGAUGAAGCCAGAGGAAACUCUGGUGGAAGUCCGAAGCGGUUCUGACGUGCAAAUCGA